CACAAUUCCUGAAUAGAAUUUUUGGUAUGCAGAAUCUGUUCAUGAAGUGGAAACCUUGACUGUGAAACUGCUGUUGAGAGAGAAGAAAAAAAAGAACUAUAUUUUACAUGGAUGUUUUACAGGCUGCCACACUUAGUACUACUUCCUGCUGCUGCCCUUGGAGCACCAGUCUUCCACAUGUUUCAUCUGGCCUGAGUGGGAAUGUAGGGCCACAUUUGCCCAAGCAAAGAUCCUUGAG
rnacentral:lncRNA from 1 species